GGCGAAAUAGCUCAGCUGGGAGGCGUUAGACUGAAGAUCUGAAGGUCCCUGGUUCAAUCCCGGGUUUCGGCA
rnacentral:tRNA from 1 species